UUUUAAAUGGAGACCCGUAUGAAUGGCAUAACGAGGGCUUAACUGUCUCCUCUUUCAAGUCAAUGAAAUUGAUCUUUCCGUGCAGAAGCGGGAAUAUAAACAUAAGACGAGAAGACCCUAUGGAGCUUUAGACACUACAGCAGCCCACGUUAAGCACCCUGAAUAAAGGACUAAACCAAGUGGGCCCUGCCUUAAUGUC
rnacentral:rRNA from 1 species